rnacentral:rRNA from 1 species
AAGAACCCCGGGAGGGGAGUGAAAGAGAACCUGAAACCCUUUGUUUACAAACAGUCGAAGUCUUUAGGGACGACGGCGUACUUUUUGUAGAACGGUCCGGCGAGUUACAGUGACUAGCGAGGUUAAGAAGUCAAGCUUCGAAGCCGAAGGGAAACCAAGUCUUAAUAGGGCGUCUAGUUAGUUAAUGUAGACCCGAAACCGGGUGACCUAUCCAUGAGCAGGUUGAAGUUACCGUAAAAGGUAAUGGAGGACCGAACUCACAUCUGUUGAAAAAGGUGGAGAUGACUUGUGGAUAGCGGAGAAAUUCCAAUCGAACUCGGAGAUAGCUGGUUCUCCUCGAAAUAGCUUUAGGGCUAGCCUUGAAUAAUGUCUAGUGGAGGUAAAGCACUGACUUGACGCGGGUCCCCAAAAGGAUACCAACUCAUAUCAAACUCAGAAUGCCAUAUAGAUAAAUUCAGGAGUCAGACUAUGGGAGAUAAGUUUCAUGGUCAAAAGGGAAAGAGCCCAGACCGACAGCUAAGGUCCCCAAGUGUGUGUUAAGUGGAAAAGGAUGUGAGAUUUCAUAGACAACUAGGAUGUUGGCUUAGAAGCAGCCACUCAUUUAAAGAGUGCGUAACAGCUCACUAGUCGAGAGGUCUUGCGCCGAAAAUGUCCGGGGCUAAAACACACCACCGAAGCUACGGAAUUACCUAGUGUAAUUGGUAGAGGAGCAUUCUGUAAGGACGAAGUUUAAGCGAAAGCGAAGAUGGACGAAACAGAAGAGAGAAUGCCGGAAUGAGUAGCGAGAUAUAUGUGAGAAUCAUAUAGGUCGAAUGUCUAAGGUUUCCUGGGUAAAGCUGAUCUGCUCAGGGUAAGUCGGGACCUAAGGUGAGGGCGAGAGCCGUAAUCGAUGGACAACAGGUAGAAAUUCCUGUACUGCAUAUAUUCAGAACUGUGGGGACACAGGAGGAUAGGGAAUCCUGGUGAUGGAAUACCGGGCUAAGCACAAAGCCGUGGCUGUAGGCAAAUCCGCAGCAUAAGGUGAAGUGUGAUAGGGAGUGAAGAAAAGUAACGAAGUUUCUGAAUCCACACUGUCGAGAAAAGCCGCUAUAGAGAUAUAUGUACCCGUACCGCAAACCGACACAGGUAGACGAGGAGAAAAUCCACAGACCGACGGGAGAAGUGUUGUUAAGGAACUCGGCAAAAUGACCCCGUAACUUAGGGAUAAGGGGAGCCUACGAGAGUAGGUCACAGAAAAGAGGCUCAAGCAACUGUUUAGCAAAAACACAGGUCUCUGCGAAACCGUAAGGUGAAGUAUAGGGGCUGACACCUGCCCGGUGCUGGAAGGUCAAAAGGAGAGGUUAGCGCAAGCGAAGCUUUGAAUUCAAGCCCCAGUAAACGGCGGCCGUAACUAUAACGGUCCUAAGGUAGCGAAAUUCCUUGUCAGGUAAGUUCUGACCCGCACGAAAGGUGUAAUGAUUUGAGCACUGUCUCGACAACACGCCCGGUGAAAUUGAAGAACCAGUGAAGAUACUGGUUACCCGCAACAGGACGGAAAGACCCCAUGGAGCUUUACUGCAGCUUAAUAUUGGGAUUCGGUAUUGUAUGUACAGGAUAGGAGGGAGACUAAGAAGCUUGCACGCCAGUGUAGGUGGAGUCGAUGUUGGGAUACCUCUCUUAUAAUACUGAAUUUCUAACCUACCGCCAUAAUCUGGUGGAGGGACAUUGUUAGGCGGGCAGUUUGACUGGGGCGGUCGCCUCCGAAAGAGUAACGGAGGCGCUCAAAGGUCUUCUCAGAAUGAUUGGAAACCAUUCAAAGAGUGUAAAGGCAGAAGAAGGCUUGACUGCGAGAGCGACGGUUCGAGCAGGUACGAAAGUAGGACUUAGUGAUCCGGUGGUAACACGUGGGAGUGCCAUCGCUUAACGGAUAAAAGCUACCCUGGGGAUAACAGGCUUAUCU